GAUGAACGCUGGCGGCGUGCCUAAUACAUGCAAGUCGAGCGAACAGAUACGGGGCUUGCUCCGUUGACGUUAGCGGCGGACGGGUGAGUAACAUGUGGGUAACCUACCUGUAAGACUGGUAAAACUCCGGGACACCGGGGAUAACGGAGUAUAACAUGUUGCACCGUAUGGUUCGACAGUGAAAGUCGGCUGUGGUGUCACUAAUCGAUGGAUCCGAGCCGUAUUGGCUAGUUGGUGCGGUAAAGGGUCACGAAGGCAACUAUACGUAGCCGACCUGAGAGGGUGAUCGGCCACACUAGAACGGGGACACGGUCCAGACUCCUACGGGAGGCAGCAGUAGGCAAUCUUCCGCAAUAGGCGAAAGCCUGACGGAGCAACGCCGCGUGAGUGAUGAAGGUCUUCGGAUCGUAAAACUCUGUUAUUAGGGAAGAACAAAUGCGUAAGUAACUGUGCGCGUCUUGACGGUACCUAAUCAGAAAGCCACGGCUAACUACGUG
rnacentral:rRNA from 1 species